rnacentral:rRNA from 1 species
GAUGAACGCUGGCGGCGUGCCUAAUACAUGCAAGUCGAGCGAACAGAUGAGGAGCUUGCUCCUCUGACGUUAGCGGCGGACGGGUGAGUAACACGUGGAUAACCUACCUAUAAGACUGGGAUAACUUCGGGAAACCGGAGCUAAUACCGGAUAAUAUAUUGAACCGCAUGGUUCAAUAGUGAAAGACGGUUUUGCUGUCACUUAUAGAUGGAUCCGCGCCGCAUUAGCUAGUUGGUAAGGUAACGGCUUACCAAGGCAACGAUGCGUAGCCGACCUGAGAGGGUGAUCGGCCACACUGGAACUGAGACACGGUCCAGACUCCUACGGGAGGCAGCAGUAGGGAAUCUUCCGCAAUGGGCUAAAGCCUGACGGAGCAACGCCGCGUGAGUGAUGAAGGUCUUCGGAUCGUAAAACUCUGUUAUUAGGGAAGAACAAAUGUGUAAGUAACUAUGCACGUCUUGACGGUACCUAAUCAGAAAGCCACGGCUAACUACGUA